rnacentral:rRNA from 1 species
GAUGAACGCUGGCGGCGUGCCUAAUACAUGCAAGUCGAGCGAACAGAUGAGGAGCUUGCUCCUCUGACGUUAGCGGCGGACGGGUGAGUAACACGUGGAUAACCUACCUAUAAGACUGGGAUAACUUCGGGAAACCGGAGCUAAUACCGGAUAAUAUAUUGAACCGCAUGGUUCAAUAGUGAAAGACGGUUUUGCUGUCACUUAUAGAUGGAUCCGCGCCGCAUUAGCUAGUUGGUAAGGUAACGGCUUACCAAGGAACGAUGCGUAGCCGACCUGAGAGGGUGAUCGGCCACACUGGAACUGAGACACGGUCCAGACUCCUACGGGAGGCAGCAGUAGGGAAUCUUCCGCAAUGGGCGAAAGCUUGACGGAGCAACGCCGCGUGAGUGAUGAAGGUCUUCGGAUCGUAAAACUCUGUUAUUAGGAAAGAACAAAUGUGUAAGUAACUAUGCACGUCUUGACGGUACCUAAUCAGAAAGCCACGGCUAACUACGU